rnacentral:misc_RNA from 1 species
AGAGAAAAAAAAAAAAUUAAAAACUAAAAAGAUAAGUCGCAUGUUUUAUUGGUAACAGAUACAAAACAAGGAAAUGAUUAACUUCAUCUAAAUGAUGCUUCUAAAUAGUUUUUUGGUAUGACACUUUUUUAAGCACCCUUUACAAUAGCGCCCAGGCAAAAAUCCUGUAUUUGGUCAUUCAUGGUUAUACUCAAAAUCAAUUUCAACAUUUCCUUACCGCUAAUGUUCUCCUUGAAGAGUUAACCUGCAAAUGUCAUAACCCUAUCAUUAAGUUCCUUUUUAAAUAGGUUAACUAACAAAACUUUCACUGAUGAUAAACUUUUCUCCUUACUGAGCGGUUGUUAUAAGCUGCUUGCUGCUUCCUUACAACAAUGCAUAACCAGGACGAUCCAUGACCUCACACUUGUACCUCAUGAAUUUCGUGACAUCAAUGGGUUUUAUCAGGUCGAGAAAAAUUACAUGGUUCAAUUACUCACUAAACAAAACAUCCAGAAGGUAGAAGUUGAAUCUUCAUUUCUUG